GGUUGUGGCUCAGUGGUCGAACACUCGCCUUGCACGUACGAGACCCUGGGUUCGAUCCUCAGCAUCA
rnacentral:tRNA from 1 species